UAGGGAAUCUUCCACAAUGGGCGAAAGCCUGAUGGAGCAACGCCGCGUGAGUGAAGAAGGUUUUCGGAUCGUAAAACUCUGUUGUAAGGGAAGAACAAGUACAGUAGUAACUGGCUGUACCUUGACGGUACCUUAUUAGAAAGCCACGGCUAACUACGUG
rnacentral:rRNA from 2 species